rnacentral:lncRNA from 1 species
AGCCUCCCUGCAAGCCUGGCUGGAGUCCGCCUGGGCAGCGGGGUUCGACAUGCUGGGCUGCGAGAGCCUGGGGGGCAAGAUACAGGUGGGGGGUUUGGGGGAUGGGGUUUGGGGUCGGGGCGGGUUUGGGGGUUGCAGGGAGGGGGGAAAGAAAUUAAGUGGUACGACCCACCCCUGCCGACACGUCCAAGGCACCCAACGGGAGGGAAAGGGGAGAGGAAAAACCGUCGGGGGGAUAAGGGGAAGAGUGUGUGUGUGUGUGUGUGUGGUGUUGAGUAAACACGGGAAAGGCGCGGGGAGGAAGUGCAAUUUUGGCUGCAUUUAUGUCAUGACAGUUUAUUCUUCCUGCUUAAUGUUACCACUACCACUACCACUACCACCGCUGCCACCCUCACUUGGAAGGUGGGUGUGUAGGGGGCUUGGGGUGCUGGGGCCGGCGCACACUCUGGCUGGCACCCCCAGCUGCUGUUUUUUCCAGCUUACGUCGCCUCUUCCUCCACGCACGUCAGUUCUUUGCUCUUCGCCGCCUUUACACCUACCUCUAGAUUAUUACGGUUGAUUUUCCUGCUCUCUUUCCGCACUUAAUUUAGUCUUUGGCGGCUAGGUAGGUAGUUUUCCGUUGUCGUCAUGACUACUAACAUCAUCGCGAGGAAUGUUUCUUCACAACCGCCGACUGGUUAGUUAUGCUUUCUUUACAUCGGCCGCAGCUCAGUCUUUCCUCCUUGGCAUCAGCUUCACUCGCUCGUGUGGUUCGUCUUUUCCCCCCCUCCCCUCCCCCCUCCUGUGCCUUCCUCGGGGAACUGCGCCGGGCAGGGAGACCGCAAAUGGAUAGGUACGACGGAGGCCGCGGCGGUUCUAAGAUCCUUCGGGGUCCGCGCACAAAUCGUGGACUUUGAGGGUGAGCUAUCUAUCUACACCUGGUGCCGUGGUUUCGAGUGAUUUGGGGUAGAAGUGGGGAAGAGGACGCGACAGUCUCCCCGAGGGGAACACCCCUUCUUCAUCCCCAAAGUCUCUUCUUCGUCCCCUUUAGGGGAACCAAAGUCGAUUUCAUAACAUGCAACAGUUGACGGUAUUGGUGAGGAGAACCUCUUGCCUUUCGCAUUCUCAUGUCUCUUGAGCUCCCGAGCCCAUGGCGGCGAAAACACGGUACGGUGUUGAAUACCACUUUGGUGCCGUACAUUACUUGCCUUAUGCGUCUCCAACGCUUUUAUUAGCCGCUUUGCACCCAACAUCGCCUGACAGGCGUCGUCAGCGCCGCUACCUCCGAUGCGCUGGAGGCGGCGGCGCCUGGAAGCGUUAUCUUCACUUCCGACGGGCCCCCUGGCGGCGGUGGCGGCCGUAGCUACGGCGGCGGC